rnacentral:rRNA from 1 species
CACUGCCGAGAAAAGCCUCUAGAUAGAAAAUAGGUGCCCGUACCGCAAACCGACACAGGUAGUCAAGAUGAGAAUUCUAAGGUGAGCGAGCGAACUCUCGUUAAGGAACUCGGCAAAAUGACCCCGUAACUUCGGGAGAAGGGGUGCUCUUUAGGGUUAACGCCCAGAAGAGCCGCAGUGAAUAGGCCCAAGCGACUGUUUAUCAAAAACACAGGUCUCUGCUAAACCGUAAGGUGAUGUAUAGGGGCUGACGCCUGCCCGGUGCUGGAAGGUUAAGAGGAGUGGUUAGCUUCUGCGAAGCUACGAAUCGAAGCCCCAGUAAACGGCGGCCGUAACUAUAACGGUCCUAAGGUAGCGAAAUUCCUUGUCGGGUAAGUUCCGACCCGCACGAAAGGCGUAACGAUUUGGGCACUGUCUCAACGAGAGACUCGGUGAAAUCAUAGUACCUGUGAAGAUGCAGGUUACCCGCGACAGGACGGAAAGACCCCGUGGAGCUUUACUGUAGCCUGAUAUUGAAAUUCGGCACAGCUUGUACAGGAUAGGUAGGAGCCUUUGAAACGUGAGCGCUAGCUUACGUGGAGGCGCUGGUGGGAUACUACCCUAGCUGUGUUGGCUUUCUAACCCGCACCACUUAUCGUGGUGGGAGACAGUGUCAGGCGGGCAGUUUGACUGGGGCGGUCGCCUCCUAA